UUAAGUUAUAAAGGGCGCACGGUGGAUGCCUAGGCACUAGGAGCCGAUGAAGGACGUAACUAACGACGAUACGCCUCGGGGAGCUGUAAGUAAGCUUUGAUCCGGGGAUUUCCGAAUGGGGGAACCCAAAUAUCGUAAUGGAUAUUUACUUGUCUGUGAAUACAUAGCAGUCAAGAGGAACACGCAAUGAACUGAAACAUCUAAGUAGUUGCAGGAAGAGAAAGAAAAUUCGAUUCCCUGAGUAGCGGCGAGCGAAACGGGAAUAGCCCAAACUAAAGAGCUUGCUCUUUAGGGUUGUAGGACUGAUGUUGUGAGAACAAAAGGUUAUGAUAGUCGAACAAGUUGGAAAACUUGGCCAAAGAGAGUGAAAGCCUCGUAAACGAAAUCUGAUCCACUCCAUUCAGUAUCCUGAGUACGGCGGAACACGAGAAACUCCGUCGGAAUCCGGGAGGACCAUCUCCCAAGGCUAAAUACUCCCUAGUGACCGAUAGUGAACCAGUACCGUGAGGGAAAGGUGAAAAGUACCCCGGAAGGGGAGUGAAAUAGAUCCUGAAACCGUGUGCCUACAAGUAGUCAGAGUCCGUUUAUGGAUGAUGGCGUGCCUUUUGUAGAAUGAACCGGCGAGUUACGUUAACAUGCAAGGUUAAGAUGAAAAGUCGGAGCCGUAGCGAAAGCGAGUCUGAAUAGGGCGAUUAAGUAUGUUGAUGUAGACCCGAAACCAAGUGACCUAUCCAUGUCCAGGUUGAAGAUGCGGUAAAACGCAUUGGAGGACCGAACUCGUGUAUGUUGAAAAAUGCUGAGAUGAGAUGUGGAUAGCGGUGAAAUUCCAAACGAACUUGGAGAUAGCUGGUUCUCUCCGAAAUAGCUUUAGGGUUAGCCUCGAGGUUUAGGAUCGUGGAGGUAGAGCACUGUUUGGACUAGGGGCCCGUCUUGGGUUACUGAAUUCAGAUAAACUCCGAAUACCAUUGAUCUUUACUCGGGAGUCAGACGAUGAGUGAUAAGAUCCACCGUCGAAAGGGAAACAGCCCAGAUCACCAGUUAAGGUCCCAAAAUUCAUGCUAAGUGGAAAAGGAUGUGGAAACGCAUAGACAACUAGGAUGUUGGCUUAGAAGCAGCCAUUCAUUCAAAGAGUGCGUAAUAGCUCACUAGUCGAGUGAUUCUGCGCCGAAAAUGUACCGGGGCUAAGCAUGAUACCGAAACUGUGGAUGUGUCGUAAGACACGUGGUAGGAGAGCGUUGUAAUUGCAUUGAAGCCAUACCGUGAGGAGUGGUGGAGUGAUUAGAAGUGAGAAUGCCGGUAUGAGUAACGAAAGACCAGUGAGAAUCUGGUCGGCCGUAAGACUAAGGUUUCCUGGGGAAGGCUCGUCCUCCCAGGGUUAGUCGGGGCCUAAGAUGAGCCGAAAGGCGUAAUCGAUGGAUAACAGGUUGAUAUUCCUGUACUAGUUUAUUUUGUUUGAACGAUGGAAGGACGCAGGAGGAUGAUGUGUGCGCGCUGAUGGAUAUGCGCGUCCAAGCAGUAAGUCUUGAUAUGAGUUAAAUGCUUAUGUCUUUAAGGACAAGCUGUGAUGGGGAGUGAAAUUUUAGUAACGAAGCACAAUAACUCACACUGCCAAGAAAAGUUCCUAGUUAGAAAUAAACUACCCGUACCGCAAACCGACACAGGUAGUCGAGGAGAGUAUCCUAAGGUCAGCGAGUGAACUCUCGUUAAGGAACUCGGCAAAAUGACCCCGUAACUUCGGGAGAAGGGGUGCUGGUGUAACAGCCAGCCGCAGUGAAUAGGCCCAAACAACUGUUUAUCAAAAACACAGGUCUAUGCUAAAUCGUAAGAUGACGUAUAUGGGCUGACGCCUGCCCGGUGCUGGAAGGUUAAGAGGAUCAGUUAGCUUUUGCGAAGCUGAGAAUUGAAGCCCCAGUAAACGGCGGCCGUAACUAUAACGGUCCUAAGGUAGCGAAAUUCCUUGUCGGGUAAGUUCCGACCCGCACGAAAGGCGUAAUGAUUUGGGCACUGUCUCAACGAGAGACUCGGUGAAAUUAUAAUACCCGUGAAGAUGCGGGUUACCCGCGACAGGACGGAAAGACCCCAUGGAGCUUUACUGUAGCUUGAUAUUGAGUUUUUGUGUGACAUGUACAGGAUAGGUAGGAGCCGUUGAUCUCGGAACGCUAGUUUCGAGGGAGGCAUUGGUGGGAUACUACCCUUGUUAUAUGAAAACUCUAACCUACAUCACUUAGCGUGGUGAGGGACAGUGUCUGGUGGGCAGUUUGACUGGGGCGGUCGCCUCCUAAAAUGUAACGGAGGCGCUCAAAGGUUCGCUCAGAAUGGUUGGAAAUCAUUCGUAGAAUGUAAAGGCAUAAGCGAGCUUGACUGCGAGACUGACAAGUCGAGCAGGGACGAAAGUCGGACUUAGUGAUCCGGUGGUACCAUAUGGAAGGGCCAUCGCUCAACGGAUAAAAGCUACCCUGGGGAUAACAGGCUUAUCUCCCCCAAGAGUUCACAUCGACGGGAGGUUUGGCACCUCGAUGUCGGCUCAUCGCAUCCUGGGGCUGUAGUCGGUCCCAAGGGUUGGGCUGUUCGCCCAUUAAAGCGGUACGCGAGCUGGGUUCAGAACGUCGUGAGACAGUUCGGUCCCUAUCCGUCGCGGGCGUAGGAAAUUUGAGAGGAGCUGUCCUUAGUACGAGAGGACCGGGAUGGACAUACCUCUGGUGUACCAGUUGUGCCGCCAGGCGCAUCGCUGGGUAGCUACGUAUGGACGGGAUAAACGCUGAAAGCAUCUAAGUGUGAAGCCCCCCUCGAGAUGAGAUUUCCCAUUCCUUUAUGGAAGUAAGAUCCGUUAGAGAAUAUGACGUAGAUAGGCUGCGGGUGGAAGUGUAGCGAUACAUGGAGCUGAGCAGUACUAAUAGAUCGAGGACUUAACCG
rnacentral:rRNA from 1 species